UGUUAAAACUUUCGUCUAUUUCUACUAUUAAAAACUUGCAUUGCUGACAGAAUCACUAGAUAGUUACACGUUGCGUGCCAUCAUACCUCAUUCUGACAUACAAAAAAUGCUUUUUAAUAGUAGAAAUUGAUGACUUUUUUAAACA
rfam:Gossypium raimondii Chr08_contig_1311, whole genome shotgun sequence.